GACGAACGCUGGCGGCGUGCUUAACACAUGCCAGUCGAACGAUGAAGAAAAGAAUCGAAGCUUCGGCAGAAAUUCAUUUCGGAUUAGUGGCAGACGGGUGAGUAACGCGUGAGCAACCUACCUCUUACAAAGGGAUAGCCUCGGGAAACCGGGAUUAAUACCAUAUAACAUUGUGACGAAGCAUUUCGAUGCAAUCAAAGCUACGGCGGUAAGAGAUGGGCUCGAGUCCCAUUAACCGGAUGGUGAGGUAACGGCUCACCAUAGUGACGAUGGGUAACCGGCCUGAGAGGGUGAACGGUCACACUGGAACUGAGACACGGUCCAGACUCCUACGGGAGGCAGCAGUGGGGAAUAUUGCACAAUGGAGGGAACUAUGAUGCAGCGACGCCGCGUGAGUGAUGAAGGAAUUCGUUUCGUAAAACUCUGUUCUAUGGGAAGAAAAGGACUGUACCAUAGGAGAAAGCUCCGGCUAAAUACGUG
rnacentral:rRNA from 1 species